rnacentral:rRNA from 1 species
CGGGUGCACUGAUCCGGCCGGGCCUUUCCCUCUGUGGAACCCCAUGGCCUUCACUGGCUGUGCGGGGGAAACAGGACUUUUACUGUGAAAAAAUUAGAGUGCUCCAGGCAGGCCUAUGCUCGAAUACAUUAGCAUGGAAUAAUAGAAUAGGACGCGUGGUUCUAUUUUGUUGGUUUCUAGGACCGCCGUAAUGAUUAAUAGGGACAGUCGGGGGCAUCAGUAUUCAAUUGUCAGAGGUGAAAUUCUUGGAUCUAUUGAAGACUAACUACUGCGAAAGCAUUUGCCAAGGAUGUUUUCAUUGAUAAGGAACGAAAGUUAGGGGAUCGAAGACGAUCAGAUACCGUCGUAGUCUUAACUAUAAACUAUGCCGACUAGGGAUCGGACGAUGUUAUUUCUUGACGCGUUCGGCACCUUUCGAGAAAUCAAAGUGCUUGGGCUCCAGGGGGAGUAUGGUCGCAAGGCUGAAACUUAAAGAAAUUGACGGAAGGGCACCACCAGGGGUGGAACCUGCGGCUUAAUUUGACUCAACACGGGGAAACUCACCAGUCCAGACACAGUGAGGAUUGACAGAUUGAGAGCUCUUUCUUGAUUCUGUGGGUGGUGGUGCAUGGGCCGUUCUUAGUUGGUGGAGUGAUUUGUCUGCUUAAUUGCGAUAACGAACGAGACCUUAACCUGCUAAAUAGCCCGUACUGCUCUGGCAGUUCGCCGGCUUCUUAGAGGGACUAUCGG